GGCGUGGUCCGGCUCACAGCGGGUGGGGUGCUGCGGCGGCCGGGGGUCACUAUGGGCAGUAAGAUGACGGCUGCUACUAGGAUCGUUCAGGUAAUCAAGCCACAUACUCUGUUAAGUACCCGGGCAGAAAAAGUAGUCCCAGACCUAAAAGUGCACGGAGAAGGACAUCCUGUGGAAGCAUUCUGCUUUAUCAGGUGUUUUAACCUUAUAUAGAGGCCUGAGUGCUUCUGAAUACAGGAAUCUCUACAAGCAAGUACGCCAUUGCCCCAAGCUUCAAAAGCACAAGAGUCUGUAGGAGGCAGACCACUGGCCUUCCAAAAUAUUUCACCUGUCAGUAGGGUACAAGGGGCACCAGACACUUCUGAAUUGGCAAGAACCUUAACUCAGAAAUUCAGAAGAAAACUUAUGUCAGAUGAAGAGAUUGAAUAUAUUAAAGUAAGUUUCACUUGUUUGUGCGUAAUCUCUGUAUUUACCUAGCUUUUAUAUGAUUCCUACAGGUUCUUCAAAGUUUCAAAUAUGGUAUUACAUUGUAAUUCUUGGUAAGCAUGUACUCAGAGCUUCAGCAGAAUCAUAGAAUAUCCUGAGCUGGACUCGAUGAU